rnacentral:rRNA from 1 species
UAAGCCAUGCAUGUCUAAGUUCACACCCUCGUACGGUGAAACCGCGAAUGGCUCAUUAAAUCAGUCGAGGUUCCUUAGAUGAUCCAAAUCUACUUGGAUAACUGUGGUAAUUCUAGAGCUAAUACAUGCCGACCAGCUCCGGACCCCCCGGGGAAAGAGCGCUUUUAUUAGUUCAAAACCAGUCGGGUUCUGCCCGUCCUUUGGUGACUCUGGAUAACUUUUUGCCGAUCGCAUGGCCCCGAGCCGGCGACGCAUCUUUCAAAUGUCUGCCCUAUCAAAUGACGAUGGUACGUGAUCCUGCUACCAUGUUAGCAACGGGUAGCGGGGAAUCAGG